GCCAGGAGGUGGUAGUUCCAUUCACUGUGUCUGGGGAAAACUGCAGAGGUUUUAUCAAGUGUGAAGUGUGCCUGAAACCAAGAUGUUAUUAUGCACAGAAGAAGCUUACAGAAGAUGAAGUUGCACAGGUGGAGGAGAGGAAAGAAGAUGUGGAGUACACUUGUGGGGGGCAAAUAUUCCAAGAACCCUGCCUUGUGUUUGUAGAAGUAAAGAUAACCUGUGAGUCACAUGUGUCUAGUAACUAUUACCAUAAAAGGAAAAAUUUUCACUUGGUUUGCUAUGUUUGUG